CAUUGCCGUGACCCUGACCGAAG
rnacentral:rRNA from 1 species